GGAAGAAUACCCAAGUCCGGUUGAAGGGGCUCGUCUCGAAAGCGAGUAGGCCAGUGAUGACGCAGGGGUUCGAAUCCCCUUUCUUCCGCCA
rnacentral:tRNA from 1 species